GACUCGAUGGUGUAGUAGUUAGUGCCUCUGACUGUCGCGCCGAGGGUCGUGGGUUCGAUUCCCACAUCGAGUCA
rnacentral:tRNA from 1 species